AUGGCGUUCCCCGACGACUACAAGGGCAUGGAGGCCCACGGCAACACCAAGUUGCACGCCAUCCACACCAAUGACAAGAAGCAGAUGACGAUCUCCCUCGUGGAGUACGAGCACCACCUCAGCCUCCAGCGCCACAAGAUCUCGGUGCUGCUCUUCCAACUGAGCGCCGCUGAAAGGUGCACCAUCUUCGACAACUUCCUCGCCGACCCCAGGUACACCUUUGCAGGCUUCUCCAUCGACGGCGACAAAACCAGGCUAGAGCGCGUCAAUCUGGAGGUUGCCAACUUCGUCGACAUCCAGAAGGAGUGGAGGGUGCUCGAGGCAACGAAGGAGUUGGACUCCCUUGGAGAUGUCUCCAGCAUGCUCAUCGACGACUACUACAACAACAUGAAGAAGAAGAUCACCAAUGACAAACACAGGCGCUAG
rnacentral:rRNA from 1 species